UGAGGAAUAUUGGGCAAUGCCCGCAAGGGUGACCCAGCAACGCCGCGUGGAGGAUGAAUGUCGUAAGAUUGUAAACUCCUGUUAGAGGGGAAGAAUAGUACCGGUUGGACCGGUAUAUGACUGUACCCUCAGAGAAAGCCCCGGCUAACUACGUGCCAGCAGCCGCGGUAAUACGUAGGGGGCAAGCGUUGUCCGGAUUUACUGGGUGUAAAGGGCGCGCAGGCGGGAUAAAAAGUCAGUGGUGAAAUCCUACAGCUUAACUGUAGAACUGCCUUUGAUACCUUUAUUCUUGAGUUCGGGAGAGAGAGACGGAAUUCCAGGUGUAGUGGUGAAAUACGUAGAUAUCUGGGAGAACACCAGUUGCGAAGGCGGUCUCUUGGUCCGACACUGACGCUGAGGCGCGAAAGCGUGGGGA
rnacentral:rRNA from 1 species